rnacentral:rRNA from 1 species
CUGAACCAGCCAAGUAGCGUGAAGGAUGACUGCCCUAUGGGUUGUAAACUUCUUUUAUAAAGGAAUAAAGUCGGGUAUGCAUACCCGUUUGCAUGUACUCUAUGAAUAAGGAUCGGCUAACUCCGUGCCAGCAGCCGCGGUAAUACGGAGGAUCCGAGCGUUAUCCGGAUUUAUUGGGUUUAAAGGGAGCGUAGAUGGAUGUUUAAGUCAGUUGUGAAAGUUUGCGG